ACUCAAAAGCAUACACCCACCCUCAUUUGACCAAGAGAACUAAGGCAUUGCAGGAACUGUGAAGACACUUGCUCAGGAACAGGGCUUGCCUUCGUGGGAUCUGACUUCUCCUACUGGUUGAUGGAGCACUGGUUGUCAGGUCUCUGCUCCUUUAAUGCAGCAGGGAUUUGCAGAAUCG
rnacentral:lncRNA from 1 species